AAAAAAAAAAAAAAAAAAUUUCAGUAAUAACAAUAUCUUAGUAGGCUCAGAAGAAGAAUAAGAAGAGGAAGGUUUAAUAUGGAGUUUCACUUACAUGGAGACCAUUGAUAUAUAAUGUUGGUCAAAAGCAUGGUUGUUGCAGCUCUCAACUCUUGAGUAGUGAAAUAGGAAACUUGAAUAAUAGAGGAAAUAAAGCAACAAGAUCCAAAAUUUAAGAAAAAGAGAAGUGAAAUAGUCUGAAAUAGGCAGAGGAAUAUAACUGCAUAAUGCUUAUUGCCAGAAUGUCUGCCUCUCUGGUUUAUAUUUGCACCAAAAAGAAUUCAAUUUAACUUUUAAAAAUAUAUAUAUUUUAAAAGAAUUACAAAUUAAGUGAAAAAUUAUAUGAUUAUCAUUUACAUACAAAUGAAGAAGGAACAGUUUUAAUUUAAAAGAAAAAAAAAUGAAUAAAAGAAGCCUUGUCUGACCCUCAAACUUUCAACUUAAUUGGUUCAUUAAACAAUCCAUAGUACUUAACAGGAAAUUAAUUCUUGUCUAAGACGUACUUCAUCAUGAGAAUUUUUAUUUGAUAUUAUUCGUAUACACAGAAUUUACGACAAUAAACAGUUAUAAUAAAAUUAUUCAACAUAAUUUUUUUUAUUAUAAAUUCAACACGACUCAUAUUUAAUAAGUAAACCCAUCAUAUAUCUUAUAUUUUAAAUUCAUAAUAUAUAAAAUUAAGAAAAAAAAUCCUAUUUAAACAAUUAAACCCAUUUCAUUUCCUUUUAGUAAAAUAAUAAUUGGAUUCUGUAGCGCUGUGCAUAUAAAGAAGAAAAAGCAAUGAUUGGGUGAGCGGUUGCAAGUUAAAAAAAAAGCCAUGACAUCCGCGAAGUUUAACAACUGUUAUACAUCAUAGGCUCAGGUUCAGAUUCUCAAUGCUGUUGCAAAUAUUUCUGCCUCCGUCAAUCACGUUAAGUUGAAAUCUCCUCCUCGUCUGAUUUUUCAGGGGAGCCACAGGAGAAUAAUGGAUUUAGUCCACAGCACAUCCCUUCACAGCCGGAACCAAGAGGACAUUAAUCAAUCACUCUCGAGUCUUGAAUCCUUGAUGUUUUAGGGUUUAAUCUCACACAUAUGAUAUCGAACCCACAGCAUUUGCUCAACCGCAUCAACCCUUUUAAAAUUUUACUUUUGGGCGCAAAAUAUGAUUAAUUAAACAAGCAAUAAUGACUAGUAACAUGGAUUCAUCGACUUUGGAUCCUUCAACGGACAAUGCCAGGUGUCUCAGCUCAAAAGUCACGACCCUGGCCCCAUAAAAUCUGAACCAUUCGUUGAUAGAUUUAUAUUAUUAUUAUAUAACGUGGAAUUCGGGAUUCUUGAAACAAAUUUCUCAUUACGCAUUAUCACCUCAACAAAAACUUCAUUCUGCUCAUUGCACUAAUUCUUGAAUUUCAAAGCUAGUCAAGAAUUUUCACUAUGCACACAUUUUAUCAUAAACGUGCUUGUAGCAUGCAAAAAUAGCAAAAAAUUGUACAUCUAAACAAAAUAAUUGCCUUGUUAAGUAAUGCUUUCAACUGAAGGUUGAUCUUGAUCCACAUAAAUGAAUAUGGGUUUGCCAUCUUUGCCAUUCAAUUGCUGAAUGAUGCAUGCAAAUGAGGGAGAGUGCCAGUGGCCCCUUUAUAUAUCCGCUUAAGCAUUGUGUAAAUGUAAUGUCAUUAACAAGUGACAACUUGAUUUUUAUUCUCUCACUUGUCGUACAAAUUGAUCUAAACAGUAGGAUACUUGAUCAAUACAUGAAUGGAGAUGACUAUACUAACCUCAUUAUGUACCAUGAUCAUCUCCAAGUUUCAAAUGAAAAAGAUCCAUUCAUCAAAUCUUGCGACUUCAAAGCCAAUGAAUCGCACUACAGCAACCUAAACAUUAAGAAAUUCAUUGAUUAAAAAUAGCAUCAUUUUCAGAGAGAACUGGUCCAUUAUUAGCAUGGUACCUCAUCAAUCAAGUUCUUGAGUGCACUAGGCAUAGACAAAGGCCAAAUGCAUCAAUCGCAGUGUUUUGUUGCUCUUUUAGUCUGAUAAUGUCAAUCAAUUACAAAUUGAAAGAGUUUUUCUUGUUUAAUCCAUUUUAUGUAAUAAGAUAAGUCAUAUCAACUUUUUUCGACUAAGAUAUAUUUCACCACAUCAGUUUGUGUGUACCCACGCAUCAUGGUGGUAUGAAGUAACUGAGUUGAUUGGUCACAAAAAUAAAACUUGAAGGGCUUAAUGGAUUAAAACAAGUAGUCAGAUAUUCAAUAAAUUUCCCGAACAUAUUCAGGGGCGAGUUUAUGCAUUUGGCUAUGCUGAUAUGAUGAAUAAUCCUAAAUCCUAAUUACAUAAAAGCAACAAUGUAGAAAUCUGAGUGAGGAAAGGAAAAUCUUAUAGUAAUCAAAAUAUUCCUCCAUAUCAGCAUUAUUUGAUCAUCUGCACCCUCUAACAAAUAGCAAAAAAAUAGAAAUAAUAAAAUUACCUAUAUUCAGUUCAGCAAAACAAUGUUGCAGUAAACUUUUGCAGCCCUGGAAAAAGUGGCGAAUUAAGCUAAAAUUUACAUAAUACUACGAAUUUUCUUAUAAGAAUAAAUCAAAUUUUCAAUGGAAUCCAAUACACUUGAAUGUUUAAGAGUUAAAUCACAUUUGUUGAUAUGGUCUUAAUGACUGCAAAAAAUAUUUGUGGACUGGAAGUAAAUUUGCGACAAAUGAAAGCAUUAAGAAGUAAACUUACACUUUUAUGCUUAAAUGAGAAACUGCCACGAUGGAUAUGCCUUUGUCAAAAUAUAUCCUCUAGCACCUCAUUUUAGCACCAAGUGUUGCGGACUAAUGUUCCCUGUUAACCAAAAAUUUGAAUCCAAUCAUUUGGUUUGAGGUUUCUAUAUAUAGUAAAAACAGAAGCUUAUACCCUUCAGGAGUCAGAUAGAUGUGUGAACAUUCGUUGGCCCUUAAAAUUAAAUGAACUAUGGAUAAAUUCUGAUCUAAGGUACAACACAUACUUAAUUUGUUUUAUUUGUAGCCCACUUCUUGCAUCAAAUGACGAUAACUACGGCCACGUAUAAUCCGCUGCCACAGAUACUGGAGAAACUUCGGGAAACUCAUACACAUCCGUUCCUGGACAAGCCAUCUCACAAGACAUCUCUGAAUGGCUCUAGAUACAGGGCGAAUGAAGGAUGGAUCACGUUGGGCAUAAAGCAAACCAACCUCUAACAAUGCAAGAGUACAAGGAUCAUCAAAGAUCUCAAGGCUAUAGUCUGCCAGAUAAUUAACCCCAAAUUCCGUGUUAACUAGACAUUGAACAAAGUCCAUUAGUUGAAGCUUAGCCCAUUCCAAAUAAAGAGCAGGGUCGUCUCUCUUUGGAGGAUGCCUCCAAGGAGCACCAAAACAUAAUAUAUCUUUUGAAAAUUUUCCACUUCGUGCAUCAUCAGCAAACUUUUGCAGGAUUCCAAGUGCUUUAUCCAUGGCAGGAUUAACCACAGUGACCUGCAAAUAUGCUAAAUAUGCAUCUAUGAUGUCCUCAAAUGUACUAGCCUUGUCAUCCAAUACGAUCUGGUAAUAGUAGCUUUGUUUAAGUGCAUAAAGCUCAAAUAGAUGCCGAGGGUUUGGCCCAAGCACCUCAACAAUCACCGCCCACUCGGAAUGACUGAAGUAGUCAGUAACCAUAUGCAUUUUAGCUUCUUGUGCAGUCCAUCCAAAGGUCUCACGAGAGAUGAAUAUGUCUGGAAAUCCAAAAUCCACGUAGGCUUGGUAUGAAUAGUAGCUAUCAGAUGAGAUGAGCAUAACAGGCAGGCAUCUCUCAUUCGCACCCAAAGCAAUAAUUCUCCAUAUCAAACUGUCAUGAUACAAGGGUGCAGACACCAUUGAAUCAUCUGUUAAAAUGGCAUUUUUAAGAACUUCAAUAUUGUUUAUAACCAACUUCGGCUGAAAGUAAUCAAUCUCAGCAGCUUGUGACAGCAACUCGAGCAACAAACAAGGCCAAUCGGUGCAUGAAUUCGCCAAUGACCUAGAAAACCCACCAGUCCUAUUCAAAUGAGCAAUGGCAUUAGCUCUCCACCCUUGCUGCACCUUAAUCACCUCCUUAGCCAAUCUCAACGCUACAAUCGCCUCUCUAAAAUAAGAAGCCUCCUCUAAUGACAAGUUAUUUCCUUUACCCUCCAAUCCCAGAAGCUCAUCAAUCUCUUUGGCAUUUGAUCGAGCAGAUAGCGCGAAAACUGCCCGCUCCCAAAGAACCGAACCGGAAACCUUGUCAGAAAUGGUAUUUCUUGAUCUUGAGGGACUGCUGGGAUUAUUCAGGAUUAUUAUCCGGCGAAGGGCAGUGUCGAGGCGGUGCCAUUUGUUUAGAGUGGAGAAGAUUUGAUUGGAGGUAAUGGUGCCAAGCCGGAUACCCUUAUAAGCCAUUGAUUCAAGGCAAGUUUCGAGUUGGGUUUUGCAACUGGAAAGAGUGGAAGAAUCACAGGUAGACCAAGACGCCCAUGGGAAAGAGUUGUUGUGCUGCGGGUGGUGGUCCUUGAUCGAUUGAGCAAAGUCCACAUAACCAGUGAUAUGAGGACCUUUGUUCCAGUCGUUAAGGAGACGUUCGAGGAUGAGAGUUGUUUUGCCGACGCCGCGGGGUCCAUGGAGUAUGAGAGGCUGAGGGACGCGGUGGUGCUGAGCGUGGUUGUUUAGGAUUGUUUCUAGUAAUGGUCUUGGUAUUAUCUUCCAUGUCUUGUUCACCAUCUCUCUAUCUCUCUGCGCUGCCGGAGGCUGUGGAAGGGACAGAUUACAGAGAGCGUGUAGGGAAUUCAAUUAAGCUUACGGGGAUAGGGUCUUAGAGAGUUGGCA
rnacentral:misc_RNA from 1 species